rnacentral:rRNA from 1 species
GAUGAACGCUGGCGGCGUGCCUAAUACAUGCAAGUCGAGCGAACAGAUAAGGAGCUUGCUCCUUUGACGUUAGCGGCGGACGGGUGAGUAACACGUGGAUAACCUACCUAUAAGACUGGGAUAACUUCGGGAAACCGGAGCUAAUACCGGAUAACAUAUUGAACCGCAUGGUUCAAUAGUGAAAGGCGGCUUUGCUGUCACUUAUAGAUGGAUCCGCGCCGUAUUAGCUAGUUGGUAAGGUAACGGCUUACCAAGGCAACGAUACGUAGCCGACCUGAGAGGGUGAUCGGCCACACUGGAACUGAGACACGGUCCAGACUCCUACGGGAGGCAGCAGUAGGGAAUCUUCCGCAAUGGGCGAAAGCCUGACGGAGCAACGCCGCGUGAGUGAUGAAGGUCUUCGGAUCGUAAAACUCUGUUAUCAGGGAAGAACAAAUGUGUAAGUAACUGUGCACAUCUUGACGGUACCUGAUCAGAAAGCCACGGCUAACUACGU